rnacentral:lncRNA from 1 species
AUUGACUUUGCUUAGCUAAUUUAUGAGAGAGGUAUCUAAAAUUACCGAUUCAUUCUGCAUUCUUCAAGUCAAAUACCUACUAGAUUUCUUAUGUAUGAACUUUUGGCUGAUGAAGGUCCUCUCUCUUGUUUGCAUGUGAAUGUUUAUUGUAUCUUACAUGGAGAUAUCCUUCAAGUUGAAAUCUCUCAUGUUCUUGCUCAAGGAUCCUGCAUUAUUAACAAAAUUCUUUUCUUUCUUGAAGGAAAGUCAUUAGUUUCUUCAAGAUACAA